UCCCUGGUGGCUCAGAGGUUAAAGCAUCUGGCCGCAAUGCAGAAAACCUGGGUUCGAUUCCUGGGUUGGGAA
rnacentral:tRNA from 1 species